CGACGGCGGGGGUCUCCAGAUCGCCGCCGAAGAGGCGAACAAGAAGCGGAAGAGCGAAAAGGGGGCGGAGGCGGAGAUGGCGGCGGUGGAACUGGGGGAGGACCUGGUGUUCGAGGUGCUGAAACGGGCGGACGCGAGGACGCUGGCGGCGGCGGCGUGCGUGAGCCGGCGGUGGCGGAUGAUGGCGGAGGAUGAGCGGCUUUGGGAGGCGGUGUGCGUCCGCCACUGGGCCAGNNNNNNNNNNNNNNNNNNNNCGGGCGGACGCGAGGACGCUGGCGGCGGCGGCGUGCGUGAGCCGGCGGUGGCGGAUGAUGGCGGAGGAUGAGCGGCUUUGGGAGGCGGUGUGCGUCCGCCACUGGGCCAGCAUCGGGUGCGGCAACCAGCAGCUCCGGUCGGUGGUGCUCGCCC
rnacentral:lncRNA from 1 species